UCUUCUCCUUCCUUCAUUUCUUCUCCUCCUCCUCUCGCGACGGAAGAAAAGGAGGAGGGCUUGGGAGAGGCCGAGCAGCACCCCCCCUAGGCCGGCCGGCGGCUCCCGGCUGGGCCUGCGGCACACGCAGCCGCGCUUGCGUCCGUGCGGGCGGCGGUGGCGGGUGGCCUACGGCCGCGCGGGUGGUUCGCAACCCGUGGCCGCGGCGGGUGGCCUGCGGCCGUGGCCGGCACCCGCGAUCGGCGAUCCCAGGGGAUCGUUCGUCUCCUACUCCGGCGACGCGGCCCUCUGCUCCGGCGGCGUGGGUCUAACACCGGAUCCUGCGAACCGUGAAGGUUUGUGAGAGAGAGACAGUGGAGAAGAGGGAAGAGGAU